rnacentral:rRNA from 1 species
CCUACGGGAGGCAGCAGUGAGGAAUAUUGGUCAAUGGACGAGAGUCUGAACCAGCCAAGUAGCGUGAAGGAUGACUGCCCUAUGGGUUGUAAACUUCUUUUAUAUGGGAAUAAAAUGUUCCACGUGUGGGAUUUUGUAUGUACCAUAUGAAUAAGGAUCGGCUAACUCCGUGCCAGCAGCCGCGGUAAUACGGAGGAUCCGAGCGUUAUCCGGUUUUAUUGGGUUUAAAGGGAGCGUAGGUGGAUUGUUAAGUCAGUUGUGAAAGUUUGCGGCUCAACCGUAAAAUUGCAGUUGAAACUGGCAGUCGUGAGUACAGUAGAGGUGGGCGGAAUUCGUGGUGUAGCGGUGAAAUGCUGAGAUAUCACGAAGAACUCCGAUUGCGAAGGCAGCUCACUGGACUGCAACUGACACUGAGGCUCGAAAGUGUGGGUAUCAAACAGGAUUAGAUACCCCAGUAGUC